UAUUUUUGGGGUUGGAUUCGUGUUGAUUUCUGGGGGCUUCCAGGUGCGGCCGCUCCCCGAGAAGCGAGACCGUGCUGAGGACGUGGUUGUCUGUCCUUCCCCCGGGGAUGCCGUUGACUGCGGCCGUCUCAGGCUUGCGUGGCUUCUCUCUGCCCGGUGUUGCCAUCCUCGCAGCGCGGGGGCGAAAAGGGACACACAGAGCCCUUCCCGGCUGUGGACAGGAGCUGCCUCGGCUGAAGCUGGAGACGCCAACGAAAGGUGGAGGACGGCCUAGAGUCUGGAGCUGCAGAAGAGGCAGGGCGGAGAGG